UACGAAGGGUGCAAGCGUUAAUCGGAAUUACUGGGCGUAAAGGGUGCGUAGGCGGUUGUUUAAGUCUGCCGUGAAAUCCCCGGGCUCAACCUGGGAAUGGCGAUGGAUACUGGGCAGCUAGAGUGUGUCAGAGGAUGGUGGAAUUCCCGGUGUAGCGGUGAAAUGCGUAGAGAUCGGGAGGAACAUCAGUGGCGAAGGCGGCCAUCUGGGACAACACUGACGCUGAAGCACGAAAGCGUGGGGAGCAAACAGG
rnacentral:rRNA from 1 species